UCUCUGCACCUGCUGACGUGCGCGCGGACGGAAGUGCUCUUCCAUGAAGCGUGGCGCACGCGAUCCGGUACACAGCUUUUUUUCUGCCUCACCUCUCAAUCCAACCCUCCAUUAGCAAAGCUGUUGCCAGGGUCUUGUCUGUGUGCUGCACAUGCCUGGAAUGUCUGGAGAAACAGCAUCAUGUGUUAAUCUGACAAAUACCUUGCAUUCAGGACAUUGAGUGUGGUGGCCUAGAAAAUGAUGCAAACGUAGGUUAGAAACAUUUGAGUGACCUGUUUUUUA